GUUCCGUUAGCACAGUUGGUAGUUGCGCGAGUCUCAUAAUCUCGAGGUCGUGAGUUCGAGCCUCACACGGAGCA